CUAAUUGUUAGGUGGGCUAAAAAGUCAUUCAGCCCAGCGAUGUCGAGACCUCCCCACCCCAGCAUCUAGAUGCUAGCCCCCCGGAGAUUUUAGAAUAUCAAAAGGUACCUAAUGUUUAGACACCCCCCAAUACCAUGUGUUUGAACCAAAUACCAUGUGUUUGAACCAAAUACCUUAGGCUUCAAAGAUAGCUGGGGUCUAGUCCUAAAAAAAAAAAAACGACACCCCCGGCUCUGUAAACUCAUUCCGUACUAUCACGACUUUUGAGCCAAGGCCGCAAACUUCUCAACGAGUCUAAUGAAACAGAUAGUUUCCCACUGUUAGCAUCGUUUUUAGCGCAGUUACACACAUGCAGGACAGCAGAAUUGUUAUCGGACUGACCCGUUAAAAAGAUAAUCUGGGAAACCAUCCUAAUGGAUCUUUCGGAAGGAUAUGCAACAUUAAGCCAACUGCAUCCCGGGGAUAAAGGAUAUGGAACCGCCUUCGUUAGAAAGGAAUUCCGAAGAGCAACGGAUGGACACAGAAUUUUACGAGAUAUCUAUAUGUCAACUGUAUGUAUUUUUUAUGAUAAAAUGUACACCCGAAAUCGAAAAUCAUACAACCCUGGAGGACAUGAUCGAAACGGAAGGGGUACCCCCGGAACAUGAAGAGUAAAACAUUGAAUUCGGAAGAUUUCCCCGCUUCAAAUUACAUUUCGGAGGUCUCUGAUUUGCGGUUGUUUGUGAUGGGCAGAAAACAGGUUAAGGAAAACUCCGAGGCUGAAACAACAUUCAGUCAUGCUAUUCUAAAACAGGAAGACAACGAUUUUUACAGAUAUUCAGAAACAGAUGGACAAUAAUUAUCAUUAUAAUUUGUUUUUUAAAUAUAUUUUUUAGGCCAUAUGUUAAAUGGACGUAUUCGUAUAAGUUAAAAUGUAUCUAUUUCGUAUAAAUACAUGUUAACAUUAUCUAACGUAUGUAUGAUACCCCGAGGCUACAGGGCAUAAUGGAUUUGGAACCGACAGAUUUAGAUCGGGAUUCUCAGAAGCAAACUGCGUCAGGUCCUUUACGUGGCCCAUUCACUAAUACACUAUUUUCGGCGUAAGUCCCCCUCCCCCCCGACUAAGGAAGAGCAGAUGAAACAGAGACAAUUCUGCGGGCUUGUACUGAAUGAAGGCCUUAACCGAACUCCAAACACAAGCCAGCAGCCCAGGACAGAUAAAACGAUAGUGGGUGAAUCUUUCCUUCCUCAUGGAACUUUUUUGAAGGGGAUGUGAAUAUUAGAGGUGAUGUUUGUAUAUAUAUUAUCUAAGAAUGAUUGGUAUUAAUUCUAGGCAUUUACAUGUAUGUUUUUAAAAAUGAAGGCUAUUUAUACAAUGAAACAUUGUUUUUAUUCAUACUGUUUGUAAACAAUAGCUUCUGCCCCCUUAGGGUCUACUUGAACCGCUUAUUAAAUCAGACCUCUCAGACCAGAAAGAUUGAUUAGAAACCAUGGCCGACUAUAUUCAAUCUGUGAUUAGAAAUGAUAAUUAGAAGCUAUGACAAAACUAUGAUCAAACUAGGGUAAUAAACUAUGAACAACUAUGAA